ACAAACUUGGUCAUUUAGAGGAAGUAAAAGUCGUAACAAGGUUUCCGUAGGUGAACCUGCGGAAGGAUCAUUAUUAUUUGCGUCGGGUUUAUUCUGGUUGUUGUUUUUUGCUUCUAUUUUGUCAGAAUAAACCUGACACAAAUAGAUUAUCGACUUUUACUCCUAUGGCCUAGCAAUAGGAUUAUAGGAGCAAGGAUGAUCGCAUAUAUUUAAAACCCAACUCUUUGAAUCAAAUAUUAUGCAUUUUAAAUAGUAAAAUCACUUUCAACAACGGAUCUCUUGGUUUUCGCAUCGAUGAAGAACGCAGC
rnacentral:misc_RNA from 1 species